AGAUGCAAUGUUGUUUGUUCAUUGUGAUAUAUUUUGAAAAAUAAAACCUAUUGAUAGUAAGUUGUAAGGUAUAAUUUUAAAAUUUUGAAAUAUUUUAAUUGGCACUGAUGUGCCACUAUAUACAGUUUAUAUGACGUCAUUUCCCUGACGUAACCUGCUUCUAGCAAUAUGAAAAACUGGGUGGUUGGAGGCUGUUAAACACGUCAGUAACACUUCUCAUGUCUUUCAUAUUUGUGACAGCAACCUUCUCAGAUAACGUGCAGGCUUUCAACGGCACACCAAUGUUUAUACCUGUUUCUUUCUUUGUAUUUUAAUUGAGGUCUAUUUGUCGUAUAAAAAUAUUGUAGAUGUAGGGCCGAGGUGACGGUUGUAAAAACUGCAUCCGUCUAUAUGGCCUGAGCGUCGGUAUUGCCAAUACCUUACAACGAAAAGACGUGCAUGUGCAGAGGUCACCUUCAGUAAGUGUGCAGACGUUUGGAACUGAAAUCUGUCUGGGUUGUCACAAAACAGAAUACACAAUCCUUGAGUAAGGGGGGCGACUCUAAGUCCAGCUUUGGACACGGAAUUUGUAAAUUGCCCUGUUAUCACUGCCGUUGGUGACAACAGGCAGCCGACGGUACGUGCCUCUUUUGUGAUGUCUACUCUUCGUUGUAGACGUGCAAGUAUGUGUGAAAGCUGGGCUGCAAAAAUGAUAGAUUCAUACAGCUAUAACUUUUGUAAAUAUACAGCGAAAAUCCUUUAAAUUCAGGUAUAUACGUUUUCUCCCCAUUGGAAAAGUUCUCUUAGCCGUGCAAGGUUUUCUCUGCGGUAGUCCCCCACCCUGUGCUGCUCACUUUUUUUUUCUAAUCUGAAAGAGCAACCAUAUUUCUUAGAAGGCCCUUGGACACUUAACCUAAGAUCUCCCCCACCCUACUUUGUAAAUGAUCCCGCUGUUCAACUUCGGUCUAUUUGUAUAUUUGUCCGUUAUCAUCAUUCUGAAAAUGAACUGUUCCCCAUUCUCUGAUAGUGUUUUCUCUGCUGAUGAUAUGACAAGACAGCAUGGUUUGUCCCGAUAAAGUACAUGCCACUAUUAUUGAUACAUAUGGAUUUAUUUAUUUAUUUGAUUGGAGUUUUACGUCGUAUUCAAGAAUAUUUUACUUAUACGACCAACCUUACGGGGGAGGUAAACGGGCAAAGCCCGCGGGAAAACAAUACCACCCGCUAAAGGCUGGCAGGGUAUUGUUCUCGCCUGGUCGAUUAGUCUAGAUAAACGGAAAAAGAAUACCUAAAAUAAAUCUAAUUUUAAAAAAAAAUUAAAUCUUGUAAAAGGCUCUUAUUCGCUAAUUAGCAGUGCAUUAAUUUGUCAGGUGCGGGGAACAGGUUUGGUCAAUCUGUCACGGAAAUGUACGUUUUACCAGCUAUGUUCAAUAUACACUCCUCCACGACAGCAACGUGCUUCAGGAUAGAACAUCAAACUGCCCACAUUGAUAGCUCGCGCAUCACUUCCUUGUGUGAACCCCUGCCCUCACCAGCUGGUUUUAGAGAGUUUGUGUGGCUAUCAGGCUUGGCUUGACACGUGACUCACGAGAGGAGGUCAUCAUUGUACAAUAUAAACGGAGUCGGAUCAGCAAUCCUUAUACAUACUCUAGGAGCAUCGUAGGCUUACACAUUUCAAAGUAUUCAUCUUACAGACGCCCGAAGUGUGCGGACAACGUGGGAAGACCUACACACACAAGUUUUGGGUAACCGAAGCUAAGAGAAGUCCUGGGUGUACACAGAACGAGGGGUGCAGUUGUAUCAAACUCUGGACGGUUUCUGUAGAAAGGCGUGAAAAUGGGAGGAAGAGAGUUCACUCACAAUCAACGCGACAAUCAGAGGUCAGACAGGCAACGGAAUGCUACAAGAUCCAACAGAGGCAACCGUUUGUUGAGGAUAUCAAACUUGACACCGCAGGAAUCAACACCAAAUACAGCAUAUGUGGAUUCAAACUGGGGACCAGUUUUCAAGAACAAGUUUCAUUUUGCGGAAAUGCAUUUUAUUUGAGUCUUUACACCCAGACUUCGCGAAAGGACGCUCAUGUAGAUAUGCCCGGGUUACCCAGCUUUAGAAACUGCUGCAAUAACCCAACUCUCGUUACGCGUUUAACACCAAACAAAAUGACGAGUGCCUCUCGGGUGUCAGUUACGUCUUUCAGCUCCGGGCUACUUACAAGAAGUCCCAAGCCAUCUGUCACCUCUUUAAUUGCUAAGGCAACGUUUUAAUUCGGCUUCAGGUGGGUCGCCUUCCAGGAAAACAAAUUACGCCAUGAACUGCGCAUGGCAACUGGGCCCGAAAGUUACAAAACACGUGCGGUUGAUUAUAAUGGCGGAGUCCAUAUGGCUGCACGAGCUCAUUGGUUUCCGUAGUAUUUGUGAAGUUAAAUUAGUCAACUACCAAAAAACAACAGUCCAAGAUUGAUGGUGUAUCUCUAACCUUUAUAUUACCUAUGUGGCUGGUUACAUUAUCUCGAAUUGCGCAUGCGCAAUCUGAACGUCUUACAUAGCCAUGGUACUUAGGCCGUCACUGUGUGUAACGGUCGUCUGUAUGCACACACAGACGUCGUCAUGGAAAAUUUCUGUCUGCUCAAUAUACAAGCAUUCAAAUUGCUCACUGGCCAUGCUCCAUGAUCUUCAAGCAAUACUUUCGAUAUUUGUCGAUAAAUUUUUAUUUAUUUUCUUUGAAAUACCCUGAAGAUGCCCCCUUUCAUCUACUGCUAGGGGAAAUUAUGGGCGAAGAUAUUUUGACACGGAAACAACGCCGCAAUAUUAAAUGAUUGAUUAUUGAUUGAUUGAUUAAAUAUUGCUUCCUGGCAAUGGGUUAUAUAUAAGGCCGGAUGGAAUAACUCUUAUAGUAAAGGUAUUUCUUUUGUCAGUGAUUCCAGGAAAAGGCGGACACAUAACAUUUGAGAUAAGUGUCGCUAAGUUAUGUAAUUAAAAGUGUUUUGUUCCUUUUGUGAAGGAAUUUGUCUACCCUACAAUUUGUUGUGACUGUUGUCUUGUAUGAAUUAAUUGCCAUCAUCGCCCCUCCCCUCCGUUCAACCCACCUGAUAGGCUUGUCCGCGUUCUUGGCCGAGUUCAGCGAUCGGAGUUGAGACGAAGGUACGAUCGAUUGUUGAAAACAAGAGCAUUAAUGUCUAAAUAUAAUGUGUAUACGUUCAAUACACAAAUGGAAAUCAAA